ACGAACGCUGGCGGCGUGCUUAACACAUGCAAGUCGAACGGAAAGGCCCUGCUUUUGUGGGGUGCUCGAGUGGCGAACGGGUGAGUAACACGUGAGUAACCUGCCCUUGACUUUGGGAUAACUUCAGGAAACUGGGGCUAAUACCGGAUAGGAGCUCCUGCUGCAUGGUGGGGGUUGGAAAGUUUCGGCGGUUGGGGAUGGACUCGCGGCUUAUCAGCUUGUUGGUGGGGUAGUGGCUUACCAAGGCUUUGACGGGUAGCCGGCCUGAGAGGGUAACCGGCCACAUUGGGACUGAGAUACGGCCCAGACUCCUACGGGAGGCAGCAGUGGGGAAUAUUGCACAAUGGGCGGAAGCCUGAUGCAGCAACGCCGCGUGCGGGAUGACGGCCUUCGGGUUGUAAACCGCUUUCGCCUGUGACGAAGCGUGAGUGACGGUAAUGGGUAAAGAAGCACCGGCUAACUACGUG
rnacentral:rRNA from 1 species